rnacentral:rRNA from 1 species
CACGUAGGGGACGAGCGUUGUCCGGAUUCAUUGGGCGUAAAGCGCGCGUAGGCGGCCCGGUAAGUCGGCUGUGAAAACCUGGGGCUCAACCCCAGGCGUGCACCCGAUACUCCCGGGCUGGAGGCAGGUAGGGGAGAUCGGAAUUCCUGGUGUAGCGGUGAAAUGCGCAGAUAUCAGGAGGAACACCGGUGGCGAAGGCGGAUCUCUGGGCCUUGCCUGACGCUGAGGCGCGAAAGCUAGGGGAGCGAACAGG